rnacentral:rRNA from 1 species
UAGGGAAUCUUCCGCAAUGGACGCAAGUCUGACGGAGCAACGCCGCGUGAGUGAAGAAGGAUUUCGGUUCGUAAAACUCUGUUGUUAGAGAAGAACAGCGCAUAGAGUAACUGUUAUGCGUGUGACGGUAUCUAACCAGAAAGCCACGGCUAACUACGUGCCACCAGCCGCGGUAAUACGUAGGUGGCAAGCGUUGUCCGGAUUUAUUGGGCGUAAAGCGAGCGCAGGCGGUCAAUUAAGUCUGAUGUGAAAGCCCCCGGCUCAACCGGGGAGGGUCAUUGGAAACUGGUUGACUUGAGUGCAGAAGAGGAGAGUGGAAUUCCAUGUGUAGCGGUGAAAUGCGUAGAUAUAUGGAGGAACACCAGUGGCGAAGGCGACUCUCUGGUCUGUAACUGACGCUGAGGCUCGAAAGCGUGGGUAGCAAACAGG